rnacentral:rRNA from 1 species
CAGUCGCCGCGGUAAUACGAAGGGUGCAAGCGUUACUCGGAAUUACUGGGCGUAAAGCGUGCGUAGGUGGUGGUUUAAGUCUGCUGUGAAAGCCCUGGGCUCAACCUGGGAAUUGCAGUGGAUACUGGAUCACUAGAGUGUGGUAGAGGAAUGCGGAAUUUCUGGUGUAGCAGUGAAAUGCGUAGAGAUCAGAAGGAACAUCCGUGGCGAAGGCGGCAUCCUGGGCUAACACUGACGCUGAGGCACGAAAGCGUGGGGAGCAAACAGGAUUAGAUACCCGUGUAGUCCCUGUCUCUUAUAC